rnacentral:rRNA from 1 species
AGAGUUUGAUCAUGGCUCAGAAUCAACGCUGGCGGCGUGCCUAACACAUGCAAGUCGCACGAGAAAGUGGAGCAAUCCAUGAGUAAAGUGGCGCACGGGUGAGUAACACGUGACUAACCUACCCUCGAGUGGGGAAUAACCUAGAGAAAUCUGGGCUAAUACCGCAUAACACUUACGAGUCAAAGCAGCAAUGCGCUUGGGGAGGGGGUCGCGGCCGAUUAGCUAGUUGGCGGGGUAAUGGCCCACCAAGGCGAUGAUCGGUAUCCGGCCUGAGAGGGCGCACGGACACACUGGAACUGAAACACGGUCCAGACUCCUACGGGAGGCAGCAGUGGGGAAUUUUGCGCAAUGGGGGAAACCCUGACGCAGCAACGCCGCGUGGAGGAUGAAAUAUCUUGGUAUGUAAACUCCUUUCGAUGGGGAAGAUUAUGACGGUACCCAUAGAAGAAGCCCCGGCUAACUUCGUGCCAGCAGCCGCGGUAAUACGAGGGGGGCAAGCGUUGUUCGGAAUUAUUGGGCGUAAAGGGUGCGUAGGCGGUUUGGCAAGUCUGGUGUGAAAUCUUCGGGCUCAACUCGAAGUCUGCACUAGAAACUGCCGGGCUUGAGUAUGGGAGAGGUGAGUGGAAUUUCCGGUGUAGCGGUGAAAUGCGUAGAUAUCGGAAGGAACACCUGUGGCGAAAGCGGCUCACUGGACCAUUACUGACGCUGAUGUACGAAAGCUAGGGGAGCAAACAGGAUUAGAUACCCUGGUAGUCCUAGCCCUAAACGAUGAUUGCUUGAUGUGGCAGGUACCCAAUCCUGCCGUGUCGAAGCUAACGCGAUAAGCAAUCCGCCUGGGGAGUACGGUCGCAAGGCUGAACUCAAAGGAAUUGACGGGGCCCGCACAAGCGGUGGAGCAUGUGGUUUAAUUCGACGCAACGCGAGAACCUUACCUGGGCUCGAAAUGUAGUGGAAUCCGGGCAGAAACGUC